rnacentral:rRNA from 1 species
UACGAAGGGUGCAAGCGUUACUCGGAAUUACUGGGCGUAAAGCGUGCGUAGGUGGUUCGUUAAGUCUGAUGUGAAAGCCCCGGGCUCAACCUGGGAAUUGCAUUGGAUACUGGCGGGCUAGAGUACGGUAGAGGGUAGUGGAAUUCCUGGUGUAGCAGUGAAAUGCGUAGAGAUCAGGAGGAACAUCCGUGGCGAAGGCGACUGCCUGGACCAGUACUGACACUGAGGCACGAAAGCGUGGGGAGCAAACAGG